CUAACACAUGCAGAGUCGAAUGGUAACAGGAAACAGCUUGCUGUUUCGCUGACGAGUGGCGGACGGGUGAGUAAUGUCUGGGAAACUGCCUGAUGGAGGGGGAUAACUACUGGAAACGGUAGCUAAUACCGCAUAACGUCGCAAGACCAAAGAGGGGGACCUUCGGGCCUCUUGCCAUCAGAUGUGCCCAGAUGGGAUUAGCUAGUAGGUGGGGUAACGGCUCACCUAGGCGACGAUCCCUAGCUGGUCUGAGAGGAUGACCAGCCACACUGGAACUGAGACACGGUCCAGACUCCUACGGGAGGCAGCAGUGGGGAAUAUUGCACAACGGGCGCAAGCCUGAUGCAGCCAUGCCGCGUGUAUGAAGACGGCCUUCGGGUUGUAAAGUACUUUCAGCGGGGAGGAAGGGAGUAAAGUUAAUACCUUUGCUCAUUGACGUUACCCGCAGAAGAAGCACCGGCUAACUCCGUGCCAGCAGCCGCGGUAAUACGGAGGGUGCAAGCGUUAAUCGGAAUUACUGGGCGUAAAGCGCACGCAGGCGGAUAGUAAAGUCAGAUGUGAAAUCCCCGGGCUCAACCUGGGAACUGCAUCUGAUACUGGCAAGCUUGAGUCUCGUAGAGGGGGGUAGAAUUCCAGGUGUAG
rnacentral:rRNA from 1 species